rnacentral:tRNA from 1 species
AGUGUGGCUCAAUGGCAGAGCAGCUGAUUUGUAAUCAGCAGGUUGAUGGUUCGACUCCAUUCACU